GGACCCGUGGCACAGUGGUAGCGCGUGAGAUUCCAGAGCUUUGGCUUGUAUCCUCAAGGUCAUCCGUUCAAUCCGGGUCGGGUUCA
rfam:Suillus luteus TH-Slu-Lm8-n1 unplaced genomic scaffold CY34scaffold_65, whole genome shotgun sequence.